CCCUGAGGCUUAAAACCUUCAACAACGCUUCCUCUGGGGUGUAAGCUCUUCUUACUGGCUCACCCUGUGGAGGGAGUGUACUUUCACCUUCAAUAAACCUUUGAUCUUGCUGCUCCUUUUGCGUGUCCUGCUCAAUUCUUUGUUCAAGACACUAAGAACUUGGAUAAGACCCUUCAUCGAGUAACAAUUUUGUAUUAUUUAACCCAAACUUCUGCCACAUGAGGAAGUAAGAAAAAUCUUUCCCUCACUGGCAUCUGCUUUUGUCUGAAACUUCUCAUCCAAACAGCUUAGACUUUCUUGGUAUUCUGGCAUAAAUACUCUGAAGAACCCAUUAGAAGACUUGAAAGAGUACAGAAAGAGGAAAUCUCAAGAAUAGGUAAGAUUCUGCUUUGUGAGAAAGGGAAGUCGUGUGUCUGCUCUCCGAAACUCUGUUCUCAGUAAAAGCACCAUCAGGUCAAGAAAACAUGUACGUCAAUCAGUUCCUCUUUGCUUAAAUGAAUUCCGCAUGAAUUGGUCAUUUGCAACCAAGAGUUCUGACAAAUACAUUGCACAAGAAAAGAGAAAUCAUGAAUCAUGAAAAAUGGAUCUUAAUUCCUUUAAGAUGAUGGAGCCAGCAGCAAAUCACAUCUCUGUGGUGGGAACAGAGACAUCUAGAGAACAACUUCUUCGUGAGAAGAAAGAGAAGAGCUCUGGGAAUCAAGAAAGAACCAGUAGGAAAGCUAAAAAUCACAGAGAACAGAAGACAACCAGAGAAAGGAAUGAAGCAGUGUGGAAAGCUAACUCUGACUCCAGGGUAGAGGGGAUCUCACCCCCAAACACAAGAUACCUUGAAGUCUGCCUUGAAGAGGGAAGAAACAAAGACAAGAGCUUGGUGGAUAGAAUAGUGGUGAAUUUGACAUGACAUGAAGGACUGUGCCUCAUUCCGGGGCCUAUGAAGACACUCCGAAGGUUCUAAUCCAGCACAGAGGAGAGGGUGGCAGGAUUGGGCGUGCUAACUCAGCUGAGCUAGAGCUGAAAGGGGGAGAUAUUGGGGCCCAGAUUGAGGCAGGGAUUGAGGCUUGACCACAGGCAAGGACAGAGGCAAAGGAGGUGGAAAGCCCUGGGGAUGCACAGGCUGUGGAGGCACCGGAGAUUGUACUGACGUGAACAAAGUUGAAAGGCAGUCAUGUGAGUCAGGUAUGGUAGAAUGCAGGGACUCGGUAUGCAGAAGGGGAAGACCUCUGUAGGAACUGGAUGAUUUUGCUGUAACAGGUCUUCCAAAAUCUCCCAAAGAAAUGAGGGCUACUGAUAUACACGUG
rnacentral:lncRNA from 1 species